CAGCGCCCCUAUAAUGUUAAAUACGGGCGCUGGCGGGGGCAAGGAGGCGGGAGGGCUAAGCAAGCCCUCCCCGCCCUAAAAACAAGGCCCCCCUUCGGUGCCGGUCCGGACUUCUCCGGACCGUGCACAUCCCUAGGAAGGCCCCUGACAGUGAGUAGCAGAAGAAUAGGGACCAGUUGAGUUAGAUGCAUGAGGGAAGUUAUUUUCCUUUAUUGCAUUGCUUAUAUCUGAGUUGCCUGUUUAGUGAAACUCUCUCUCUUACAAUCAUUAUUAAUAUGAGUUCUGAAGAGAAAAUUGUUCUUAUUAAGACUGUUCAGCCCUUUUAGGGAGGGUUUUGCCACUUACCCUCACGCCUGCCAGGAAUCUUAUACGGUUUCCCCACAUCAAAAUAAAGUGGAUGGCAGCAGCCUACUGUGUGAAUCCCUUAUAGGUAACGAUUCAACCCCAGUGAAUUCCCACCUCUGGCUCUGGUAGGAGCUAUGGCACCGUGUUUAUGAUUUUUUUGGCUGACAUCCUGAGUAAUGAAGCAUGAGUGCCAUGGGAGAAACACCCUCUGCUGAGGCCACCUCCAGCCACAGAGGCAAGAUGCCUCUGAGUACCAGUUGCAGGGGAGCAACAGCAGGAGAAGGGGCAUGCCCUCACCUCUUGCCUGUGGGCUCCUCAGAGGGAUUUGGUGGGCCACAGCAUAAAGCAGGAUGCUGGACUAGAUAGGCCUUCGGCCUGAUCCAGCAGGGCUCUUCUUAUGCUUCUGAAAAGUUCAAUUCACCCAGCUCCACUGCUGGUGUAAUAGCGGGGGCAAAUUUUGACAACCUCCUCUUCCCCAGAAAGCAUUCUGUGCUACCCUAAAAUAUUUCCCUGGGACAUAUUUUGUGCAGCCCUCAGGGACAUAUUUCAGGGUGGCAAAGAGCACUUCUGGUGGAAGUGGGGGGGGGUCUUUGAAGUCCCCACACUCCCCACUAGUACAGUGUUAGUCUGGAACUCUUCAGAAGUACUGAUGCUACACUGGUGCUUCUCCUGUGGCACAAGUGCUUCGUUAGUCAGGAUGUCCGCCAUAGUUUUUAUUGAAUUUGAAGGGCAGUAUAGAGAUCUAUAAAAUAAGGGAAGAAAUAACGAAUCAAUAAGUCUUUUAGAUGGCCCACUGGCCUCCUAGUGUGCCUUCACUAGCACAUAUUCCCAGAAUACUUUUUUUUAAUGGAGCAAAAAACCAGAACACCCCAUUCAGGUUCUCCAUAAGCCAACUCAGAUUAUACUUUGAAACAGCCCCUUAAAUACAUGAGGGAGGAUUGUGAGCACCUACACUUCCCUCCACCCAGCAUGUCAGCACCUAAAGCUGCUCUUUGUAUGUACUCUGUAUUGCUUUUAUGCUUUGUUUGUUUUAUAUUUUUAGUUUAAUAUUUUAAUUGUGUUUUUUUUACAAUCUUGUUUUUAAAUUUUGCUGUAAACUGCCUUGGGAUUGUUUUAAUGAAAAAUUUUAUAAAUUUAACAAUAAAAUAAAUAAAUAAAUAAAUAAAUAAAUAAAUAAAUAAAUAAAAUAAUCGUGCAGGGGUGGCAGUCUGCCUGAACCACCCCACAACACAAGCUUUUCAUACUACUUUAAAUUGCACAUUGAGGGAUGGUUCAGACAAAAUUGCACAGAGUUGGUGGUUCUGAGACUUCUUUUCCAGUGUAUGCAUAUUUAGUAUGCUGUUAUGCAAAGUGUACAUAUUUAGUGAAGAGGAUUUUAGUUUGUCAUUUCAGGUUUAUAAAUGCAAUAUUCUAAAUCUCCUGAGAAAAUUAAUGAAGAGCAUAAUACCUUCUGUAGCAACUAACUGGAAACUGAACAAAUGCUGUUAAAAAGAGAACCCUCCUGUAGAAGAAGGAGGAAGAGGAGGAUGACAGUAGUUCAGAUAUCUCCUUCUCGCUCUCAUCAGAAGCGUCUGAGAUGGAGCCUGAAGAAGAACAGAUUCGUUACAGCAAAAGACUGCCAAACAUCAACUGUACCAGACAAGUGAUUUGGAUAGAGGUGCCAUAUGCAUGACAACUUGAAAUAGCUCUUCUGGGUUUCCAAGAGUAGCUCUCUUUGAGUCCUCCCCUGGUGCCUGAGCAGAAGAGUGUUUCCAUCAUGCUCCAUUCUUGGCCCACAUUGAUCCUACUUGCCUGAAAGGAAAUGAGAGCUUCUGCUGGCCGAUAUCAUUCUUCCCGGUUCCUUGCUGUGACUGCCUCCAAGCUGAGUUUAACCAGGCCACAUAAGCCAGCCCUGCUCUUCCUGUGCCAAGCACCAACCUUUGCUAGAAAGUGUGGAAUUCUCUGCCCAGCUUCCUCUGUCUUGCACCUGAAUUUGCCUUGUGCUGCCAUGCGGGGAGGACUCCAGACACAUCUCUAAUGAUUCAGCAUCAAGUUGACAGCCAGCCCACCAAUCUGGAUCUUCAAUAAAUCAAUUUAGGAUCAACUCCAGAUUUAGAAGCCCUGACAAAAUUCUGGCAUUUGGGUGAGAUCCCAGGACGGAGCUCAGCACAGCAAGGUCAAGUGACAGAGCUUAUAGAUUGUGGGGGCGGGGGGCGUCUAGUAGUGAACUGGAGCACGCAGGGGUUAAUGUAAAAAGGUGGAACCCACAAAAAAUGCUACAUCAUGCAUUGCUGUUUUUAAUGCAUUUUCAGGUUUCCUGCCAGCAUGCAAAACAUCCAUAUAUGACAGCGGGCCAACACAACUCAUCUUUAUACCACCCAAAGAGGAACUGUGCCACAAGUCCCAAAGUAAGAACAAGGGGGUGAGCUCAGCCCCAGGCUACAUGUUGUCACCUGGAAGGAGAGCUGGGCUUGUGGUAACAAGCAUGAAUUGCUCCCUUUGCUAAGCAGGGUCUGCCCUGGUUUGCAUUUGAAUGGGAGACAUGUGUGAGCACUGUAAGAUAUUCCCUUCAGGGGACGGGGCCACACUGGGAAGAACAUCUGCAUACUUGCAUGCAGAAGGUUUCAAGUUCCCUCCCUGGUAUCUCCUGGCUGAGAGAGACUCCUGCCUGCAACCCUGGAGUAGCCACUGCCAGUCUGUGUAUACAAUACUGAGCUGGAUGGACCAAGGGUCUGACUUUGGCAGCUUCCUAUGUCCCUUCCUACAAACAUCUACAUGCAGCAUAUUAUUAAGGAAUAAAGCAUUGACCCAUUUUACAGAUCAGGGGCAUAGCAAGGUUGGAAUGGGCCCAGAGACAAGAUUUUAAAAUGGGCCCCUCGCUGAUAUACACACACAAACACACUCCACAAUAUACAGUGUAUAAUGCAUUCAUACUCCCAUCCCCAUUAUGAAUACAGUGAAUAUCUAGUUCACAUUGAAUCUAGUUCACAGGGGCAGAUCCAGCAGGAAAUUACAGGGGGUGCAACAAGAAUCCCCCCCCCCAUAAAAGAUGCCCCCACCCCAUAUAUAUAUUGGGGCUUGGAUUUUCUCUCUUGCAAAUGCACUAUGCCAGGGGGUGUCCAACUAAAGUUUGGUGGUGGGCCAGAUUAGAUUCUGAUGCACCUCUGGUGAGCCACACAUAGCCUUGUGCCCACCUCAGACCACCUAUCUUCCUCCUCCUCUCUGCUCUUUCUCUCAUCCCCCCUCCCCCACCACCGCCUUAAAUUAGCUGAAUUCACUACUUUUUACACUAAAAUACACUCAGGGAAAGAUUGUGGUUUUAAAAUUUUUUUUAGAAGAAAUUCAGAACAUACCUGCUAAUACCAGCUUUUGCAUGGGAAAUCCUAUCACUCUUCCUCUCUCCCUUACAAAGGUGUUGCUAGGUACUUAAAUGAUCCAGGGCUUGGGCCCACAGCCUCCCCACAUUUGGUAAUGAAACCCUUUCAUGCUAUCUUAAAGGUAUUCAACACUCUCCUCCCCACUAGCUUGCUUCACAGCUAAAAAUGAAUCUCCUUUUUCUCCUGCAUCAGAUUUCUCCUGUAUCCUAUGCACACAGCUGAGAACCAAUGUGGUGUAGUGAUUAGAGUGUCAAGACUAGGACUGGGGGACUUGUGUUCUUCAUUCAGUCAUGAAACUCACUGUGGGACUUUAGCUGAGACACACUCUCUCCCCCCUCCAAACCUGCCUCACAGGAUUGUUGAGGAUAAAAGUGGGGAGGAAGAACAUGUACACUACCCUGACCUCUUUGGAGGAAGAACAGGAUAUGUGUCAAAAAUUUAGCCACAUGCACUCCAAUCUUAAGCAUGUACUCAGAAGCACAUUCAAAUAGCAUUUUUUACACCAAUCACAGCAGCAUGCAAUUCAGUUUGAUCUUUUAUUUAGUACAUUUCAUUUAAGCAAGAAAAUCAUAUGCAAAAACAAAUCAUAUGCAACUAUAGUGUAUGUCUAUAUACUACAGUAUAUAUACAAUGUAUAGUGAGUCUAACGCUACAGAAAGAAAAGCCACCACUUUGAUUUCAAAUAGUACAGCAGAAUGUCAUAUAUGGAGUUACCCCAAUUUUGCAGAAUUUAAAGACAACCAAUCAUUUCAUGUGCAAUUUAAAAAUGAGUUUCUUGUGAACUGAUUUGCAAAGCCUUAUUUUGAAGCAAGUGUAUACACAGUACAAAAAGAGACUUUUGGUGGGGGAGCAUGCUACAAGCACAAAGCAAAAUAAAAUAAAAUAGUAAUGUUUAAAAGGGGAAACAUGUUAAGAGAACCAUUUUCUCAUAUUUUGCUAUUUAAACCAUUGUGAGAACUCUGUUGCUAAAAAAGCAGCAUAUAAAUAUUUUUAAUAAGGGUGGGGGGGGGGGAGAGAAAGCAACACACACAGAGACCAGAUUAGAGCUAUAAGCAGUGUAACUUCAGGAAUAAAAAGGAACAAAAACAAAGACAUCCAUUUUGUCAGAGCAUCCCCCCGCCGCAUUCUUUUCAAAGCUUUUAAUACUUUUGCAUUAACUAAUGUCCUCAGGACAAGGUAUACACAAAAUGUCUUCUUACUUUCAUUCUUGGAGGGAGACCAACAAGCCAACAGCCAGCUUCCUGGGCUCUGCAAUUCCAUACAAAUUCCAAGCGGGGGAGGAGCACAAGAUGCCAGGAGAACCAAUAGGGCUGGGAGAAAAGUUAACUCUUUUUUUGCUCUCUGCUGCCACCGAAGUGCCGAUCUCCAAGAGACUCAAUAUUAAUUAAUAGGGGGUGCAAAAUAGGCAGGUGGGGAGUAACAUGACAUGCCUCUGGGAGGCCCUUGAGGCAGUGGGGCCCCAAGACAACUGGCUCCCCUUGUCUAAUGCUAGUGACGCCCCUGCAACAGAUGGAAAACACUGAGGAAGAGUACCUCUAAUCAGAAGGGCACGCACACACACACCACACACACACCCCUUGGGUUGAUGGCUUGACCGGACAAUGAUAGCAGGUGGCUGUGUGGAAGCUAAGCAUACUAGGUUGUAAGUCCUAUGGAGAUCAAGUGUGAUCAACACAAUACAGCACAGACCCAGUCUAGGAGCUCAUUUCAGAUCAUGAUCUAGUUCAGUGCAUGGUAGUCCUCAUACAUAAGGAGGAUAAAAAACCAAAAGUGACAUAGGAACAUAGGAAGCUGCCAUAUGCUGUGUCAGACCAUAGGUCCAUCUAGCUCGGUAUUGUCUACACAGACUGGCAGUGGCUUCUCCAAGGUUGAGGCAGGAAUAUCUCUCGGCCCUAUCUUGGAGAUGCCAGGGAGGGAACUUGGAACCUUCUGCUCUUCCCAGAGCGGCUUCAUCCCGAGGGGAAUAUCUUGCAGUGCUCACACAUCAAGUCUACCAUUCAUAUGCAACCAGGACAGACCCUGCUUAGCUAUGGGGACAAGUCAUGCUUGCUACUACAAGACCAAGGGCACUGGUGUCACUGUGUGAACAUGGAAAUCCAGGUUCAAAUCCCUCCUCAACUAUGAGCUUCCCUGGUUAUUCUGGGCCAGUCACAAUUUCCCAGCCUAUCUUACAAGCUUUUGUGAAGAUAAAGUAGAUGGGAGAACUGUUACUGUGAGCUCCUUGGAGGAAGGGUAGGAUAAAAACAUCAUCAUCGUCAUCAUCAUCAAUUAACCAGGUCCCAUUGGGUGGGAAAGUACAACGAUAUGGGUACAGUCAGUUGGGGACAAUAUUGGGAGUCCUCAGGAGGUGAAGAGGCAUGGGUUGUUCCCGGGGUCCCAUCUACAGAUGACCCUCUAUUCAAGGUAGAAUAGAUCCUCUGUCCCAUUUUAGCAAGAAAUGAACACAGUAAAAAACAACAACCAUACAAUAAAAUAAAAAUCAAAUAAGAAAGCAAAAGACAACAGAGACUAUCUAAGAGCAGAAAAUGAUUCACCAUCAUGGCUACCUGCACCAGUCAUUCAUCAAAGGUCUGGUGGAACACUUGAGCCAUUAAAACCUUCCUGAAGUCUGAAAGGGAGCACUCUGAACCCCUUGCAGUUGGGAGUCAUAAAACUAGGGCACCACCACAGAGGAAAUCCUGUCCUGUGUGCAUGUCAACCAAGCUUCAGCAAGUGAUGGUAUGUAGAACAGAGCCCUCCCCAAAGAUCUCUUAAAUCAAAAUUUUAUUAGUUUCUAUACAGAGAAUUCGAAAGGUAAGAGAAAAAAUUGAAUCAGAGAGAUUGAAGACAUCUCUAAGUUUCUAUAUACUGUAGUAAAAUACAAUUGAAAAAAUACAGAUUUACUGUCUAUAUCAUAAGAAUUGAUCAUGUAAUAACAAUCAGAUUUAGGACGGGUUUAUGUGUUCUUUCAGAUAUCAAACCGAGUUUCAACCAACAGACAUUAAAUAAUUGCUUCAAUGCAGCUUUUCAUUAGUUAGUACAUUCUAAAAAAAGAGCCAGGGGGAGAGAGAAAGAAAAAGAAGGAAUCUUAAAAUUAUUAUCUUAGAAAGAUUAACAUAAAAAGAUAAGAUUAUGUAUCAUAAAGAGAUGCAUAACCAAAAGACUGUCUGAAACAGUCAGUCUGCAAACUCAACUACAUUGUAAACCAAAAAAUGAAAAAGAUUUUUUGUCAGUCAGCCAGUCCAAUAGUCAGAGCCGUCUAUAAGUUCAAAAAAAGGAAAGGUCAUACAGCCAAAACUUAUUUUGAAUCUAAAAACCAAAAUAUCCACUUUCUUCUAAAUACAUGAAAGCGUGGGUGCCCAAAGGUCAAUGCCCAUCUAGGUUUGAUUCGGUUAGAGAGAAAUUUAACCGUGAACAGUAUUAAAUGCAUAUUCUUUGCCACUUGUAAACCAACCAUGUGCUCAUCACCAAAAUCCGGUAUAUAAACUUGAUUGUCAACACAGUUAACCUGCAGAAUGGGGUUACAUUGUUCGGAUUGUAUUUCCUUUUCCAGAACCAUCUGGGUAAUAAGUACCUAAAUCAGUCUGCGACACAUCCUGAUCUAAAGAUAUCUUUGCACUCAGCUUAUCUAUUUGCAGAGAAAUCUUGUUAAGCUCCUCCACAGCUGUCUGGGGAAAAAAAAAAGAUUGUAAGACAUUGUUUUACAAGCUUAAUGAUCCCUAACCAAAAGUAGUCUUUUAUAAAAGGUUCUUCUUUAAGUGACCGUCUGCAAGAGAGACAAAAAUUGAGAUGGCCAGUCCUUAUUCCCUACUUUGUUUGAGAGAAAUUUUUGUCACAGGGAAUCAAAUGUUCAAUUCUUGUAAGGCCCACAAAGCACUGCCUUUAACAAAACAAAACAAAAAACUAACAAAAAUGCCAAAAAUGAAUUCCCUAGUAAAGAGAGCAUGAAAUAUUCACACACUGGGAAAAUCUCUGACACAUCUAUACUAAAAUAGCAUAGUUCAAUGCAUAUAAGGCUUUUUAGGAAUAAAAAUCAGAUUAAUACAAAUCCAUUGAAUCUGGUAAAUAACAACAAUCCUUCGCAAGAAAAAUGUUCAGUGGCUUUAGACAGAAUGUUUACAAAACAAGCAAACUGUCCCAGGAAAGGGAGUUAUAGCUUUCUCUGAUUGCUUUAUCUUUUUAUGAGUCACAGUCUACAGCUGUUCUACAGGAAGAUAAGGAGGGAUAGUUCUCAUAACAAAAGGUCCAAGGCCUCCAUGAGUUCUUAUGAGAAAAAACAAGGAAAGAUGGGGGAGGAAAUAGAUCUCUGAAGCCAAAAGGUUUCGGCUCCAGCCUUCCAACCGGUCCUGAAAUAGUAGAUAUCCUCAGUUCUGAAAAGAAUAAUAUCCUUCGCUUAACUGCGAUAUAAUGUUCAUAUGACAUCCAUAAAAGAGUUUUUCUUUUUAAUAUAGUAGCAUAAUAGAAUAAUCAUCCAGAAGGCAUUCCCAUAUAGAAAACAGUCUACACCUCUUCCUCUUUGAUGUAUAGCAAGGAAAUUCUCACAGUCAGAAACCUCCCACAGAACAGAGAAAAAUUCCUUCUCUUUCUCAAUGAUCAUCCAUAUGGUAACACUUGGAUAAUAAUCAAAUAACAUGACACCGACAUAUGAUCAGUCCUAAAGUAAUUGGUGUCCUUCACCCUUCUGGCAUAUAAUGUUCCUUGAUGAAACAGACUAAUUGCUUCUUCCUUGUUUAAGAUAGUUACUCAAAGCAGUGCCAUAAGCCAAUCCAGAGAGCUGAGCAGGACUCAUUACCCAAAAGUUAUAAAUCUUUCAUUUAGAUUGUGAAACCAUUUAUUUGCCAAUAAAGUCGUUCUCCAAUUAACCAAAAUAAAGUCACUGACUGAAAGCUGAGUCUACAAUCCAGUUCCGUUCAAUUAAUAACAAUAAAGUUUGACAUCAGAAUCCUCAGACAGCCUGGUUAAGACAGUUGAAGGUUUCUAUAAUCCAUCAAUAACAGACAUCAAGAAAAACAUCAUUGUUAUAGUAAAAUGUUAAUCAUUGUUAAUCAGUAAAAAUCAGUUAAUCAUUGUUAAUCAGUAAAAUGUAAUAAAAUGUUGAUCAUUGCAUCAU